CAGUAGCCAGGCUGCCUCUGGCAGUUUCACACACAAAUGACUAAACACAUCGACUCUGGAAAUAGAUGCUGCCAUAAUUGGAUGUUACCAGAUUUGGAAGUCCCGUGAGAGAUCACCUGACCCAAGUUCCCCUAUUUUGGAGACGGAGAACCCGAGAUUCCACCCGAAAUUCGUGGCCAUUCAGCUGACCUAUGGGAGUGCGAGUAAAAAUAUAGUAAGAAGACAGAUGUGCGAGAAGUACUUUCACUGAAAAACGUCAUUGAAAUGAUCCAGGAAGCACCAGCAUGAACACUUGUAUGAAGAGUAUCAACAGCUUAGAGGAUGAUCCAGCAUCUCCAGCACUCUUGAUGCCUGGAAGAUACAGUGUGGGAAACACACAGCCAGCAGCAAUUAUGAGUCAAAAAGAGACUCACGGAGUCAGACUUGGAAUGUGAAGAAGUUUAGAAAUAUCUUAACCAAUUUUUUCACUUGUACCUUCCUUUUUAUACGUGUGUAAGAGUGCUGUAUAAUAAAACCUAUAUCACCA